AACGAACGCUGGCGGCAGGCCUAACACAUGCAAGUCGAGCGCGCCCUUCGGGGUGUGCGGCGGCCGGGUGUGUAACGCGUGGGAACGUUCACUUUUCUACGGAAUAGCCUCGGGACACUGAGAGUAAUACCGUAUACGCCCUUUGGGGGGAACAUUUUUUGGAAAAGGUUCGUCCCGCGUUGGAUUAGGUAGUUGUUUGGCUAAUGGGCUACCCAGCCGACCAUUCAUAGCUGGUUUGAGAGGAAGCUCAGCCACACUGGGACUGAGACACGGCCCAGAAUCCUACGGGAGGCAGCAGUGGGGAAUCGUGGACAAUGGGGGGAACCCUGAUGGAGCCAGGCCGCGUGAGUGAUGAAGGCCUGAGAGCUGUAAAGCUCUAUCAGCUGGGAAGAUAAUGACGGUACCAGCAGAAGAAGCCCCGGCUAACUCCGUG
rnacentral:rRNA from 1 species